UGUUCUUUAAAUGGGGACUAGUAUGAAUGGCAUCACGAGGGUUAAACUGUCUCCUUUUUCUAAUCAGUGAAACUAAUCUCCCCGUGAAGAAGCGAGGAUAACUUUAUAAGACGAGAAGACCCUAUGGAGCUUAAAACAAAUUUACACCUGCNUUUAUUACAUCCACCUUCCCGAACACUCACACAAACUAUAGCAUGCUUGAUAAAUAGUUUUCGAUUGGGGUGAUCAUGGAGAAAAAAACAACCUCCACGACGNANCAAGGGAANNNCCNUUCCUGAGCUAAAAGCCACAACUUUAAGCACUNAAAAAAUUAACGCACUUUGACCCAANUUACUUGAGCAACGAACCAAGUUACCCUAGGGAUAACAGCGCAAUCCACUUCAAGAGCUCCUAUCGACAAGUGGGCUUACGACCUCGAUGUUGGAUCA
rnacentral:rRNA from 1 species